GAUCAUGGCUCAGGACGAACGCUGGCGGCAUGCCUAAUACAUGCAAGUCGAGCGGAGCACUUCGGUGCUUAGCGGCGGACGGGUGAGUAACACGUAGGUAACCUGCCUAUUAGACUGGGAUAACUAUCGGAAACGAUAGCUAAGACCGGAUAACUGGUUUUCUCGCAUGAGAGAAUCAUGAAACACGGAGCAAUCUGUGGCUGAUAGAUGGGCCUGCGGCGCAUUAGCUAGUUGGUAGGGUAACGGCCUACCAAGGCGACGAUGCGUAGCCGACCUGAGAGGGUGAACGGCCACACUGGAACUGAGACACGGUCCAGACUCCUACGGGAGGCAGCAGUGGGGAAUAUUGGACAAUGGGCGAAAGCCUGAUCCAGCCAUGCCGCGUGUGUGAAGAAGGUCUUCGGAUUGUAAAGCACUUUAAGUUGGGAGGAAGGGUUGUAGAUUAAUACUCUGCAAUUUUGACGUUACCGACAGAAUAAGCACCGGCUAACUCUGUGCCAGCAGCCGCGGUAAUACAGAGGGUGCAAGCGUUAAUCGGAAUUACUGGGCGUAAAGCGCGCGUA
rnacentral:rRNA from 1 species